rnacentral:rRNA from 1 species
UGGGGAAUAUUGGACAAUGGGGGGAACCCUGAUCCAGCGAUGCCGCGUGAGUGAAGAAGGCCUUAGGGUUGUAAAGCUCUUUUGAUAGGGACGAUGAUGACGGUACCUGUAGAAUAAGCACCGGCUAACUCUGUGCCAGCAGCCGCGGUAAUACAGAGGGUGCAAGCGUUGUUCGGAAUUACUGGGCGUAAAGAGCGUGUAGGCGGAUAGUCAAGUCAGAUGUUAAAGACCCGGGCUUAACCUGGGGGGUGCGUCUGAAACGGAUUAUCUAGAGUACAGAAGGGGAGAAUGGAAUUUCCAGUGUAGAGGUAAAAUUCGUAGAUAUUGGAAGGAACACCAGUGGCGAAGGCGAUUCUCUGGGCUGUAACUGACGCUGAGGCGCGAAAGCGUGGGGAGCAAACAGG